GAGCGAACAGGAUUAGAUACCCUGGUAGUCCACGCCGUAAACGAUGAGUGCUAAGUGUUAGAGGGUUUCCGCCCUUUAGUGCUGCAGCAAACGCAUUAAGCACUCCGCCUGGGGAGUACGGUCGCAAGACUGAAACUCAAAGGAAUUGACGGGGGCCCGCACAAGCGGUGGAGCAUGUGGUUUAAUUCGAAGCAACGCGAAGAACCUUACCAGGUCUUGACAUCCUCUGACACCCCUAGAGAUAGGGCUUCCCCUUCGGGGGCAGAGUGACAGGUGGUGCAUGGUUGUCGUCAGCUCGUGUCGUGAGAUGUUGGGUUAAGUCCCGCAACGAGCGCAACCCUUGAUCUUAGUUGCCAGCAUUCAGUUGGGCACUCUAAGGUGACUGCCGGUGACAAACCGGAGGAAGGUGGGGAUGACGUCAAAUCAUCAUGCCCCUUAUGACCUGGGCUACACACGUGCUACAAUGGGCAGAACAAAGGGCAGCGAAGCCGCGAGGCUAAGCCAAUCCCAC
rnacentral:rRNA from 1 species